rnacentral:lncRNA from 1 species
GGAGACAAUAUAAAAAAAAAAGCGUUAUAUUUCAAUAAUGUUCAUAACGCAAAAUUCGUUUCGAUCUAUACCAAAUAAUUUCUUUUCAUCAAAAUUUCUCUGGCUUAUGAGUUUCUUAAACUUGGCCCCUGCCAGAAUCAUUCUCGCAGGUACCUUCGUCAAGGUAUGUUCAAUGACCCGUACCCAUAAACAUGUUUUCACAUUUGACACACAGCCGUUCCUUGGCGUUGGCUGAGUCUCACUCUCAUGUGGUGGCUCGAAUGUGAGGUGCACUCAAAUCAUACCUCAGGAGAUACUUCACCCAACAUCUCCCCCUGGAGGUAAGUAUAUAAUUGAGUUACCGUGCCCCUCUCAUAGGCAGUCCACGGAAACCCCCACCACUGCAGUGACCGUUUAAUAUACCACUAGACCUAUAAAAAUUCUAGUAGCAUAAUAUGGUGAAUAAAAUGUAAUCCAGUCUACCGAGACCAAUCCAAAACUAUUCAUAUAUUUCAUGCCAACCCCAAAAAUUUAGCCAUCAUGCUACCAUAGUGUCAUAAGCCCCAAUUUCAAUAACAUAUAAAAUCAAAAAUUUCAACACAGUCUCCAUAUACUCAAUUUUCCCAAAACAAUAUUUGAUUUCAAAACCAGUAUAAAUCUCAUUUUUAUUAAAAAAAUAUUUUAAUUAGAA